rnacentral:rRNA from 1 species
AGAAUCAACGCUGGCGGCGUGCCUAACACAUGCAAGUCGCACGAGAAAGGGGAGCAAUCCCUGAGUACAGUGGCGCACGGGUGAGUAACACGUGAAUGAUCUACCUCCGAGUGGGGAAUAACUGAGAGAAAUCUUAGCUAAUACCGCAUAACACUUACGAGUCAAAGCAGCAAUGCGCUUGGAGAGGAGUUCGCGGCCGAUUAGUUAGUUGGCGGGGUAAUGGCCCACCAAGACGAUGAUCGGUA